UUUCCCCUCGUUGCUGGCAUCUUCAUAAACAAUUCUAAAAUCUCUCAUCGAAAACAGAUGCUUAUAGUUCCACCAAAAUGGCUAGAGGGUUGAAGAAACAUUUGAAGAGGCUCAAUGCUCCAUGGCAUUGGAUGCUCGACAAGCUUGGUGGUGCAUUUGCAUGUUAUCUUCUCGAAUAUUUUUUCCAUCAUUUU